CGAACGCUGGCGGAUGCUUACACAUGCAAGUCUCACGGGCAGCAAUGUCAGUGGCGGACGGGUGAGUAACGCGUAGGAAUCUGUCCUUAGGUGGGGGAUAACUGUGGGAAACUACAGCUAAUACCGCAUGAUACCUGUGGGUCAAAGGCGCGAGUCGCCUGAGGAGGAGCCUGCGUACGAUUAGCUAGUUGGUGGGGUAAAGGCCUACCAAGGCUGCGAUCGUUAGCUGGUCUGAGAGGAUGAUCAGCCACAUUGGGACUGAGACACGGCCCAAACUCCUACGGGAGGCAGCAGUGGGGAAUAUUGGACAAUGGGCGCAAGCCUGAUCCAGCAAUGCCGCGUGUGUGAAGAAGGUUUUCGGAUUGUAAAGCACUUUCGACGGGGACGAUGAUGACGGUACCCGUAGAAGAAGCCCCGGCUAACUUCGUGCCAGCAGCCGCGGUAAUACGAAGGGGGCUAGCGUUGCUCGGAAUGACUGGGCGUAAAGGGCGCGUANGCGGGUUGCACAGUCAGAUGUGAAAUUCCUG
rnacentral:rRNA from 1 species